UUGGAGGGCAAGUCUGGUGCCAGCAGCCGCGGUAAUUCCAGCUCCAAUAGCGUAUAUUAAAGUUGUUGCAGUUAAAAAGCUCGUAGUUGAACUUCAGACCUGACCGGGCGGUCCGCCUAACGGUGUGUACUGUCUGGCCGGGCCUUACCUCUUGGUGAGCCGGCAUGCCCUUCACUGGGUGUGUCGGGGAACCAGGACCUUUACCUUGAGAAAAUUAGAGUGUUCAAAGCAGGCUUACGCCGGAAUACAUUAGCAUGGAAUAGUAAAAUAGGACGUGCGG
rnacentral:rRNA from 1 species